GACGAAGGAUGCAAGCGUUAUCCGGAUUCAUUGGGUUUAAAGGGAGCGUAGGUGGCCUUAUAAGUCAGCGGUGAAAUCUCUGGGCUUAACCCAGAAAUUGCCAUUGAUACUGUAGGGCUUGAGUACAGUUGCUGUGGGCGGAAUAUGACAUGUAGUGGUGAAAUACAUAGAGAUGUCAUAGAACACCGAUUGCGAAGGCAGCUCACAAAAACUGUAACUGACACUGAGGACUCGAAAAGUGCGGGGAUCAAACAGG
rnacentral:rRNA from 1 species